GGUAACCACUACAAUAACAAAACAAAACUGAAGUUGGGCUAUAUUCGAGCGAAACCGAAUAGCAAAUGCUGCUACAGAUUAUAUGUAUAUAAUGGAUUGAUAUAACGGGUUUUCCAAAAGUGAUCCUUACAAUUACAUAAUGGAGUGAUAUACAUCAAAAUUGCGGCCGCAAUCGUGGACAUCGU